ensembl:snRNA LOC120098377 U1 spliceosomal RNA
AUACUUACCUGGCAGGGGAUCACGAAGGUGGUUUUCCCAGGAGGAGACUUAUCCAUUGCACUCCGGAUGUGCUGACCCCUGCGAUUUCCCCAAAUGCAGGAAAACUCGACUGCAUAAUUUGUGGUAGUGGGGGACUGCCUUCG